rnacentral:lncRNA from 1 species
GAGAAGAAACGGCGGAGACCUGAGACCCGGAGGCUGAGGCUGUAGGUGGGCUCCGCUGGGUAAAAGUUGCCGCAGCAGCUGUCCCUUGGCCCCAUCGCGAUUUAUUUUUCCCCCUUGCUUUCCGGGUCCCGGGAUCCCAAGUUUGUAACUAACGGGAGCGAAUCCACACCCGAGCAAAAUGUUUGCGAGUUUCAGGCGCCCUUAGUUGAAAGGCUGUAAUUAACAAGUCCGCUGUUUGCCAGCCAGGCGCCGUUGCAGGCGCUUUCUGUGGAUUGUCAUUUAUUUCUCACAGCAACCCUAGGAGAUGAAAUUGAAUCAUGGAAGAAUGCCUUUAUCUGAGGAGUCAUCACCACUAGGGAGCUAUGGAGGCUGUUAUCCUUGACAUCUGCAGCAGCCCUUCCAAGCUGUGGAGACCAGGUCAUCUGGAAUGCCCAUUUAUGUCAAUGGAAGAAAGAAAAAGGGGUCUCCUCCCAUCCUCACCACUGCAUUCUCCCACCAACCCUGCUCCUGUCCCACUUCCCACAACUCAGUUGUUGACAAUUUAACAGUGGGUUUCUGGAAACAGUGCUGCCUCCUUGAUGGUCUAACUAACUACCAGAGUUAUUCUAACAGCAGGAAUUUCAAGCCAGCAAACCAGACAUACAUAGGAGGCACAGCAAAAGACCCAAGGUGAGGGGCUUCCCUCACCUUCACCCUUGUUCUCACGUGGAGGUGGCGCAUGUCUAUGAGACACAGUACCCCACUCAGCGAUCCUCUGCAGUCCAGGAAAUUCUAGCACUUGCUUGGAAAACAAAUCAAGUGAAGCCUGUUGGCUUUUUGUGAGCUGCCUAUGGAGAAAUGCACAUGGCAAGGAACUGAGGGUUGCCUCCAGCAAACUGCUGGUGAGGGAGUGAGGCCUUCAGUCCAACAGCCUUUAAGGAACUGAAUCCUGCCAACAACCAUGUGAGUGGGCUUGGAGAUGGAUGCUACCACCAUCAAGCCUUCAGGAGUGAAUUUUUUUGUUCUUGAGACAGCGUCUCAUUCUGUUGCCCAGGAUGGAGUACAGUGGUGCCAUCUUCGCUCACUGCAGCCUUCGUCUCCCGGGUUCAAGCAAUUCUCCUGUCUCAGCCUCCCAAGUAGCUGGGAUUACAGACCCAUCAAGCCUUCAGAUAAGACUGCAGCCUCAUUACAGACCUUGAACUGGAGGCAGCCAGCUGAGUCACACCUGGAUUCCUGACCCUUAGAAACUAUGAGAUAAUAAAUGUUUACAGUUUUAAGCCACUAAGUUUCG